rnacentral:lncRNA from 1 species
CCCUCGACUAAGGUCGGGAUGCCCCGAGGGUCGACCGUAGAGUCCCAAACUCCCUCGACCUCGGGAUGCACCGCAGGUCAGCAAAGCGUCCUCAAACCCGCCGACCUGACACAAGACUCCUCGACCAAGGUUGGGGCGCCCCGAGGUCCGACCGUAGGGUCUCAAGCUCCCUCGACCACGGAAAGAGCUACGAAUCAAUAAAGCCUUCCCAGAUCCUCUCAACUUCGGCGGGUGUCGUCGGGUCCGUGAGAAGCCCGAGUCCCCUAACAAGUCAAAAACGACUCCGAAAGCUGAAGAGGAAGGGAAACAACCCACUCCGCCACAUGGAGUACAACUCUGGGAAUGAAAAAGGUACGUCCAACUCGAC